AUAUAGCGUCAUCAUUUGUAGUCACCAAUCAUCCAACGCUGAUCCCCUCGAUUCGCGGCGCCCUCGCCUCCACCACUCCCCAACCACCCGACGCCGACCCCCCUCAAUUCACGCCCCCACCCGCUGCAUCGGCUCCCUCCGGCGCCCCGCCUCCUGGCCCAGAUCCGUGCACCCCUCGCCCUCUCUAGACUCGAUGAUUCACAGAUCCGCCCAGCUGCCCAGGCACCGACUACCGGCGUCCGGAUCUCCUGCUCCACUGCUCGCUGCCUCGGGGCUCUCUGGCGUUGGCUCAGCGCGGUGGGCCCCCCAAUAGCCUAGUUCCGGAUCCCCCCACCACCCACGCCCCACAGGUCAAGCACCGGCCACCGAUGUCUGACGAACGAGCGAACUCCCCGCGGAUGCAGGAGGAGGAGGUGUAGGAGCGACCACCGACCAUCCGCGUUUCACCAUCCCCUUCUCCGAUCUCAAGGGUUUGUCCGCUGGUUUGCUAAGGCAAGCAACGUACAUAGACUGCUCGUCUUGGAUCCUUCAGGUUUGUAUAGUGUGUUGCUUUAUGAUCAAUUGACCAUUCAUUACCUCCGCCUGAUGGCCCUUAUUAACAACAGUAAGAACUAACUAAGAAUGUGCGCUAAGAUUUUGCUAUCUGAAGUGGUAAAUUUGUUAAUCCUAAUUUUUUGUUGAAUGGGUAUGGGGUUUUGUGGGUGGUGGAUGGUGUUGUGGGAUGAGAUCCUUUUGAAAGGGAAAUGUGCCCUUGGGCCAUUUCUAAAGUGUUUUGGUGAUUAAGUGCCCAACACAUUUUCUCUAAGUGCAAAUUUGUGCCAAAGAGUGAAGAAGUGAAAAUCGUAUUACAAGGUA